ensembl:piRNA 21ur-13452 ncRNA
UAUUUUAAAAAUUGAGAGUUU